rnacentral:rRNA from 1 species
UAGGGAAUAUUAGUAAUGGGCGAAAGCCUGAACUAGCAACGCCGCGUGUGCGAAGAAGGCCUUCGGGUUGUAAAGCACUUUUUGAGAGGAUGAGGAAGGACGGUACUCUCAGAAUAAGUCUCGGCUAACUACGUGCCAGCAGCCGCGGUAACACGUAGGAGGCGAACGUUAUCCGGAUUUACUGGGCGUAAAGCGCGUGUAGGUGGUUUGGUAAGUAGGGCGUGAAAGCUCCUGGCUCAACUGGGAGAGGCCGUUCUAAACUGCCGAACUGGAGGAUGGUAGAGGGAGGUGGAAUUCCAGGUGUAGCGGUGGAAUGCGCAGAUAUCCGGAGGAACACCAGUGGCGAAAGCGGCCUCCUGGACCACUCCUGACACUCAGACGCGAAAGCUAGGGUAGCAAACGG